rnacentral:rRNA from 1 species
GAGUUUGAUCCUGGCUCAGGAUGAACGCUGGCGGCGUGCCUAACACAUGCAAGUCGAACGAAGCACCUUUUGAGAUUCUUCGGAUGAUCGAUCGGUGACUGAGUGGCGGACGGGUGAGUAACGCGUGGGUAACCUACCCUGUACAGGGGGAUAACAGCUGGAAACGGCUGCUAAUACCGCAUAAGCGCACGAGGAGACAUCUCCUUGUGUGAAAAACUCCGGUGGUACAGGAUGGGCCCGCGUCUGAUUAGCUGGUUGGCAGGGUAACGGCCUACCAAGGCAACGAUCAGUAGCCGGUCUGAGAGGGUGAACGGCCACAUUGGGACUGAGACACGGCCCAGACUCCUACGGGAGGCAGCAGUGGGGAAUAUUGCACAAUGGGGGAAACCCUGAUGCAGCGACGCCGCGUGAAGGAAGAAGUAUCUCGGUAUGUAAACUUCUAUCAGCAGGGAAGAAAAUGACGGUACCUGACUAAGAAGCCCCGGCUAACUACGUGCCAGCAGCCGCGGUAAUAC